rnacentral:rRNA from 1 species
AUUGAACGCUGGCGGCAUGCCUUACACAUGCAAGUCGAACGGCAGCACGGGUGCUUGCACCUGGUGGCGAGUGGCGAACGGGUGAGUAAUACAUCGGAACGUACCUUAUCGUGGGGGAUAACGUAGCGAAAGCUGUGCUAAUACCGCAUACGCCCUGAGGGGGAAAGCGGGGGAUCGAAAGACCUCGCGCGAUUAGAGCGGCCGACGCCUGAUUAGCUUGUUGGUGGGGUAAAAGCCCACCAAGGCGACGAUCAGUAGCUGGUCUGAGAGGACGAUCAGCCACACUGGGACUGAGACACGGCCCAGACUCCUACGGGAGGCAGCAGUGGGGAAUUUUGGACAAUGGGGGCAACCCUGAUCCAGCAAUGCCGCGUGAGUGAAGAAGGCCUUCGGGUUGUAAAGCUCUUUUGUCAGGGAAGAAACACCGGCUCUAACACAGUCCGGGAAUGACGGUACCUGAAGAAUAAGCACCGGCUAACUACGUGCCAGCAGCCGCCGUAA